UUUGUUUCUUAGCAUCUAUCAUGAUAUUUGUUUUGUUCACUCGAUAAGCACGAUACAACAUGCAUGCAUAUUUGUUAAACACCUUAUCAUUAUAUCUUCCUUUUGAAGUAGCAAACAUAACUAUUUGAGUUGCAAUUACUUCCGUAAGUUCUUUUUUCAAAGUUUGGCAAAGUUCAGAGAUUUUUGGAUUUUUCAUCACGUAAUGCACACCCCUAGCUUGGAAUAGAGAUUACGUUGGUGUAAACUAAGCCACACCUUUCUGUUUACAAACAUAGAGUGUUGUAGAGUAUCAAAGGUGUUGUAAAGUAUCAAAGGUGUUGUAAAGUAUAGACAUGGGUCUCGACAUCUAGGCAAACCUCCCUACGAUUUCUAAAACAAUAUAAAGCAUUAUGGUGAAUAUAGGCGUAGAGAACUAGGUGUGAACCAUGACUACAAAAGGCUUAUAGAUAAGACCUCACUACGAGAAGAAAUAAAGAAUUUCCAGGUGUGCCAAGAGAAAUCACUAGCGGAGGCAAAGGGAGAUGGAUCCCCGAGAUCAGAGUAAACAAGGUCGAAAGGACACUGAGACACUGUCUCGGAUUAGAGACAUAGUCGGAGACGGAUCCAAGAAGACCACAUUGAACUAAGGAUGAGAGAUCACAAGUGACCCAAGGCGAUGAUGCCAUUGCUGAAAAUAGCCGGUAGACAACGCACCAGAGGCAGAGGCUGGCGGCGGUGGCGGCAGAGGGACUUGAUCCAGCAUCCCAUGUGCCUGUGCACUCUCCGCACCCUGCCGAUUCGGCUUGGUGUUCUUCUCCUGCUUGCGGGUUCUGUGCCACGCACUUGAUUAAGCACCCUAGGUUCUCCUACUGUGCGCCCUUGGCCUCGACUUUAGGGAGCGCCUGGUCGGCUCGCCCCGUUCAUAAUCCAUGUACGCGUCGACUGUCAGAGCUCCUGCUCACCAUUGGUGGUGCUCGAGCGUGCGGUUAUGGUGUCGCACAAUAAGGGAACAUGGGAUGCGGGAUUGAGACAAUGCUCAUAAAAACCCGCAGCAAGGCAAAGGGUUCCUAUGUAGACUCGCAGGGAGCGGAGGUGGUCACAAAUGUGGACGUUGGCUCCAUAGGAGUCUCAACAAUGCGCUCAUCAGUAAGCGCAACAUGAGCAAGAAGAUCCGGGAUAUACUUCUCUAGGAAAUACGGAACAAUCUCAAGGAAAGUAGCAAAGAGGAUAACGAUAAACAUACAAAAUUCACUAUGACGAGCCUUCACAAAGGUAAUGUACUUAAGAGUCAUCGCCGGUGAUGAUUGACAUGUAGAAGUGUUCGGCCAUGAGUUGAAUGGUGGACCGAAAGUGCAGGAUUAUGAGCACUCGCCAAAAACCAGUCACAAUCACCACUGAGACAAAACGCUCAAACCAGGUAUGAGGGUUUGCUUAGGGCCAUAUGGACAACGACGAAGACGACAAACCAUGCCACCAGGAAGAGAACCCAGGUGGUGGCUACAUGUUGGCAUUCUUGACAUCAAGCCGAGAGACAGAUUAGCGACGAAUAGAAGCCACAUUGAGAAGUGUGCGAAGAGUGGUCGUGUGGGCCAUAUAUAUAUAUAUAUAUAUAUAUAUAUAUAUAUAUAUAUAAUAUAUAUAUAUAUGUUGUCACCACUAAACGAGCUUUGUAACGCUCGAGAGUAUCAUCAGUCUUAACCUUGUAAACCCACUUACAAGUGUUGAGAUGAGCAUGGGGAAGAAGGGAAAUGAGAUUCCAUGUGUCGAGCAGGCAAUAGCAUCAAUCUUCGAUGCCAUCACAUCCAGCCAUUUGGGAUGAACAACCUCACGAUAAGAAGUCGUCUCGGGAAGAGCUGCACAGUAACCAUAGCAGUCAAUAGGCACAAGCGAGGCAGAAGCAGGCGAGCUCGAAAGCCAUAAGUAGGUUGGUUGGAAUAGAGAUUAUCAGGGUGUAAAUUAAGCCACAUCUUUCUUUGUACAAACGUACAGUGUUGUAAAGUAUCAAAGGUGUUGUAGAGUAUAGACAUGGGUCUUGACAUCUAGGCAAACCUACAUACGAUUUCUAAAACAAUAUAAAGCAUUAUGGUGAAUAGGCGUAGAGAACUGAGUGUGAACCAUGACAGCAAAAGGCUUAUAGAUAAGACCUCACUACGAGGAGAAAUAAAGUAUAUCCAGGUGUGUCGAGAGAAGUCACUAGCGGAGGCAAAGGGAGAUGGACCCCUGAGAUCAGAGUAAACAAGGUCAAAAGGACGCUGAGACACUGUCUCACUAUGACUAGGUAACUGGACCACGGAUUAGAGACAUCGUCGGAGACGGAUCGAGGAAGACCAUGUUGAACUGAGGAUGAGAGAUCACAAGCGACCCGAGGCGAUGAUGCCACUGCUGAAAAUAGUUGGUAGACAAGGCAACAGAGGCAGAGACUGGUGGUGGCGGCAAAGGGACUUGAUCUAGCAUCCCACGUGCAUGUGCACUCUCCGUACCCUGCCGGUUCGGCUUGGUGUUCUUCUCCUGCUUGCGGGUUGUGUGGCACGCACUUGAUUAAGCACCCCAGGUUCUACUGUGCGCCCUUGGCCUCGACUUUAGGUGGCCCCUGUCGUCGGCUAGCCCCGUUCAUAAUCCAGGUACGCGUCGACUGUCCUAGCUCCUGCUCACCAUUGGUGGUGCUCGAGCGUGCGAUUAUGGUGUCGCACAACAAGGGAACACGUGAUGUGGGAUUGAGACAAUGCUCAUAAAACUCGCAGGGAGCGGAGGUGGUCAUCAGUGUGGAUGUUGGCUCCAUAGGAGUCUUAACAAUGCGCUCAUCAGUAAGCACAACAUGAGCAACAAGAUCCUGGAUAUACUUCUCUAGGAAAUACGGAAGAAUCUCAAGGAAGUAGCGAAGAGUACCAAGAUCAGACAUACAAAAUUCACUAUACUUUAGAGUCGUCGCUGGUGAUGAUCGACAUGUAGAAGAAGGGUUCGGCCACGAGAUGAAUGGUGGACCGAAAGUGCAGGAUCAUGAGCACUCGCCAAAAACCAGUCGCAAUCACCACUGAGACAAAGCACUCAAACCCGGCAUGAGGGUUUGCUUAGGGCCAUAUAGACAACGACGAAGAUGACAAACGAUGCCAUCAAGAAGAGAACCCAGGUGGUGGCUACAUGUUGGCAUUCUUGACAUCAAGUCGAGAGACGGACUAGCGACGAAUAGAAGCCACAUUGAGAAGUGUGCGAAGAGUGGUCGUGUGGUGAUUGCGAUAGUCAUGACCAUGUUCUCACCACUAAACGAGCUUUGUAACGCUUGAGAAUAUCAUCAGUCUUAACCUUGUAACCCACUUAUAAGUGCUGAGAUGAGCAGGGGGAAGAAGGGAAAUGUGAUUCAAUGUGUCGAGCGGGCAACAGCAUCAAUCUUCGAUGCCAUCACAUCCAGCAAUUUGGGAUGAACAACCUCACGAUAAGAAGUCGUCUCGGGAAGAGCUGCACAGUAACCAUAGUAGUCAAUAGGCACAAGCGAGGCAGAAGCGGGCGAGCUCGAAAGCCAUAAGUAGGCUAGCUUGGAUUAGAGAUUACGAUGGUGUAAAUUAAGCCAGACCUUUCUGUUUACAAACGUACAAUGUUGUAGAGUAUAGGCAUGGGUCUUGACAUCUAGGCAAACCUCCCUACGAUUUCUAAAACAAUAUAAAGCAUUAUGGUGAAUAGGCAUAGAGAAUUGAGUUUGAACCAUGACAACAAAAGGCUUAUAGAUAAGACCUCACUACGAGAAGAAAUAAUGUAUAUCCAGGUGGGUCGAGAGAAGUCACUAGCGGAGGCAAAGGGAGAUGGACCCCUGUGAUCAGAGUAAGCAAGGUCGUAAGGACGCUGAGACACUGUCUCGCUAUGACUAGGUAACUGGACCAUGGAUUAGAGACAUCGUCGGAGACAGAUAUAAGAAGACCACGUUAAACUAAGGAUGAGAGAUCACAAGCGACCCAAGGCGAUGAUGCCACUGCUCAAAAUAGCUGGUAGACUAGGCAACAGAGGCAAAGACUGGCGGCUGUGGCGGCAGAGGGACUUGAUCCAUCAUCCCACGUGCUUGUGCACUCUUUGUACCCUGCGAUUCGGCUUGGUGUUCUUCUCCUGCUUGCGGGUUGUGUGCCACGCACUUGAUUAAGCACCCCAGGUUCUCCUACUGUGCGCCCUUGGCCUCGACUUUAGGUAGCGCCUGUCGUCGGCUCGCCCCGUUCAUAAUCCAGGUACACGUCGACUGUCCGAGCUCCUGCUCACCAUUGGUGGUGCUUGAGCGUGCGGUUAUGGUGUCGCACAACAAGGGAACACGGGAUGUGGGAUUGAGACAGUGCUCAUAAAACCCGCAGCAAGGUAAAGGUUCCCAUGCAGACUCGCAGGGAGCGGAGGUGGUCACAAAUGUGGAUGUUGGCUCAAUAGGAGUCUCAACAAUGCGCUCAUUAGUAAGAGCAACAUGAGCAAGGACAUCCUAGAUAUACUUCUCCAGGAAAUACGGAACAAUCUCAAGGAAGUAGUGAAGAGGACCAAGAUCAGACAUACAAAAUUCACUAUGGCGAGCCUUGACAAAAGGUAAUGUAGUUAAGAGUCGUCGCCGGUGAUGAUUGACAUGUAGAAGAAGUGUUCGACCACGAGUUGAAUGGUGGACCAAAAGUGCAGGAUCAUGAGCACUCGCCAAAAACCAGUCGCAAUCACCACUGAGACAAAGUGCUCAAGCCAGGCACGAGGGUUUGCUUAGGGCGAUAUAUAGACAACGACGAAGAUGACAAACCAUGCCAUCAGGAAGAGAACCUAGGUGGUGGAUACAUGUUGGCAUUCUUGACAUCAAGCUGACAGACAGACUAGCGGCGAAUAGAAGCCACAUUGAGAAGUGUGCGGAGAGUGGUCGUGUGGGCCAUAUAUAUAUAUAUAUAUAUAUAUAUAUAUAUAUAGGAGAAAACGUCUCAUCGUAGUCAUGACCAUGUUGUCACCACUAAACGAGCUUUGUAACGCUUGAGAGUAUCAUCGUCUUAACCUUGUAAAGCCACUUACAAGUGCUGAGAUGAGCACGGGGAAGAAGGGAAAUGAGAUUCCAUGUGUCGAGCGGGCAAGAGCAUCAAUCUUCGAUGCCAUCACAUCCAGCCAUUUGGGAUGAACAACCUCAAGAUAAGAAGUCGUCUCAGAAAGUGCUGCACAGUAACCAUAGCACUCAAUAGGCACAAGCGAGGCAGAAGCGGGCGAGCUGGAAAGCCAUAAGUAGGCUAGCUUGGAUUAGAGAUAACGAUUGUGUAAAUUAAGCCACACCUUUCUGUUUACAAACGUACAGGGUUGUAGAUUAUAGACAUGGGUCUUGACAUCUAGGCAAACCUUCCUACGAUUUCUAAAACAAUAUAAAGCAUUAUGGUGAAUAGGCGUAGAGAACUGAGUGUGAACCAUGACAGCAAAAGGCUUAUAGAUAAGACCUCACUACGAGAAGAAAUAAAGUAUAUCCAGGUGUGUCGAGAGAAGUCACUAGCGGAGGCAAAGGGAGAUGGACCCCUGAGAUCAGAGUGAACAAGGUCGAAAGGACGCUGAGACACUGUCUUACUAUGACUAGGUAACUGGACCACGGAUUAGAGACAUCGUUGGAGACGGAUCCAAGAAGACCACGUUUAACUAGGGAUGAGAGAUCACAAGUGACCCAAGGCGAUGAUGCCACUACUGAAAAUAGCUGGUAAACAAGGCAACAGAGGCAGGCAGAGACUGGCGGCAGAGAGACUUGGUCCAGCAUCCCACGUGCAUGUGCACUCUCAGUACCCUGUGAGUCGGCUAGGUGUUCUUCUCCUGCUUGCGGGUUGUGUGCCACGCAUUUGAUUAAGCACCCCAGGUUCUCCUAUUGUGCGCCCUUGGCCUCGACUUUAGGUAGCGCCUGUCGUCGGCUCGCCCCGUUCAUAAUCCAGGUACGCGUCGACUGUCCGAGCUCCUGCUCACCAUUGGUGGUGCUCGAGCGUGCGGUUAUGGUGUCGCACAACAAGGGAACACGGGAUGUGGGAUUGAGACAGUGCUCAUAACACACGCAGCAAGGUAAAGGUUCCUAUGCAGACUCGCGGAGCGGAGGUGGUCAUAAAUGUGGAUGUUGGCUCCAUAGGAGUCUCAACAAUGCGCUCAUCAGUAAGAGCAACAUGAGCAAGAAGAUCCUGGAUAUACUUCUCCAGGAAAUACGGAACAAUCUCAAGGAAGUAGCGAAGAGGACCAAGAUCAGACAUACAAAAUUAACUACGACGAGCCUUCACAAAGGUAAUGUAGUUAAGAGUUGUCGCUGGUGAUGAUCGACAUGUAGAAGAAGUGUUCGACCACGAGUUGAAUGGUGGACCGAAAGUGCAGGAUCAUGAGCACUCGCCAAAAACCACUCGCAAUCACCACUGAGACAAAGCGCUCAAACCAGGCACGAGGGUUUGCUUAGGGCCAUAUAGACAGCGAGGAAGACGACAAACCAUGCCGUCAGGAAGAGAACCUAGGUGGUGGCUACAUGUUGGCAUUCUUGACAGACAUCAAGCUGAGAGACAGAUAAGGGGCGAAUAGAAGCCACAUUGAGAAGUGUGCGGAGAGUGGUCGUGUGGGCCAUAUAUAUAUACGAGAAAAUGUCUCAUCGUAGUCAUGACCAUGUUCUCACCACUAAACCUUGUAAACGCACUUACAAGUGCUGAGAUGAGCACGGGGAAGAAGGGAAAUGAGAUUCCAUGUGUCGAGCGGGCAAGAGCAUCAAUCUUCGAUGCCAUCACAUCCAGCCAUUUGAGAUGAACAACCUCAAGAUAAGAAGUCGUCUUGGGAAGAGCUGCACAGUAACCAUAGCAGUCAAUAGGCACAAACGAGGCAGAAGCGGGCGAGCUGGAAAGCCAUAAGUAAGCUAGCUUGGAUUAGAGAUUACGAUGGUGUAAAUUAAGCCACACCUUUCUAUUUACAAACGUACAGUGUUGUAGAGUAUAGACAUGGGUCUUGACAUCUAGGCAAACCUCCCUACGAUUUCUAAAACAAUAUAAAGCAUUAUGAUGAAUAGGCGUAGAGAACUGAGUGUGAACCAUGACAACAAAAGGCUUAUAGAUAAGACCUCACUACGAGAAGAAAUAAAGUAUAUCCAGGUGUGUCGAGAGAAGUCACUAGCGGAGGGCAAAGGGAGAUGGACCCCUGAGAUCAGAGUAAACAAGGUCGAAAGGACGCUAAGACACUGUCUCGCUAUGACUGGGUAAUUGGACCACGGAUUAGAGACAUCGUUGGUGACGGAUCCAAGAAGACCACGUUCAACUAAGGAUGAGAGAUCACAAGUGACCCAAGGCGAUGAUGCCACUGCGAAAAAUAGCUAGUAAACAAGGCAACAGAGGCAGAGACUGGCGGCUGUGGAGGCAGAGGGACUUGGUCCAGCAUCCCACGUGCAUGUGCACUCUCAGUACCCUGUGAGUCGGCUAGGUGUUCUUCUCCUGCUUGCGGGUUGUGUGCCACGCAUUUGAUUAAGCACCCCAGGUUCUCCUAUUGUGCGCCCUCAGCCUCGACUUUAGGUAGCGCCUGUCGUCGGCUCGCCCCGUUCAUAAUCCAGGUACGCGUCGACUGUCCGAGCUCCUGCUCACCAUUGGUGGUGCUCGAGCGUGCGGUUAUGGUGUCGCACAACAAGGGAACACGGGAUGUGGGAUUGAGACAGUGCUCAUAGAAACCCGCAGCAAGGUAAAGGUUCCUAUGCAGACUCGCGGAGCGGAGGUGGUCAUAAAUGUGGAUGUUGGCUCCAUAGGAGUCUCAACAAUGCGCUCAUCAGUAAGAGCAACAUGAGCAAGAAGAUCCUGGAUAUACUUCUCCAGGAAAUACGGAACAAUCUCAAGGAAGUAGCGAAGAGGACCAAGAUCAGACAUACAAAAUUAACUACGACGAGCCUUCACAAAGGUAAUGUAGUUAAGAGUUGUCGCUGGUGAUGAUCGACAUGUAGAAGAAGUGUUCGACCACGAGUUGAAUGGUGGACCGAAAGUGCAGGAUCAUGAGCACUCGCCAAAAACCACUCGCAAUCACCACUGAGACAAAGCGCUCAAACCAGGCACGAGGGUUUGCUUAGGGCCAUAUAGACAGCGAGGAAGACGACAAACCAUGCCGUCAGGAAGAGAACCUAGGUGGUGGCUACAUGUUGGCAUUCUUGACAGACAUCAAGCUGAGAGACAGAUAAGGGGCGAAUAGAAGCCACAUUGAGAAGUGUGCGGAGAGUGGUCGUGUGGGCCAUAUAUAUAUACGAGAAAAUGUCUCAUCGUAGUCAUGACCAUGUUCUCACCACUAAACCUUGUAAACGCACUUACAAGUGCUGAGAUGAGCACGGGGAAGAAGGGAAAUGAGAUUCCAUGUGUCGAGCGGGCAAGAGCAUCAAUCUUCGAUGCCAUCACAUCCAGCCAUUUGAGAUGAACAACCUCAAGAUAAGAAGUCGUCUUGGGAAGAGCUGCACAGUAACCAUAGCAGUCAAUAGGCACAAGCGAGGCAGAAGCGGGCGAGCUGGAAAGCCAUAAGUAAGCUAGCUUGGAUUAGAGAUUACGAUGGUGUAAAUUAAGCCACACCUUUCUAUUUACAAACGUACAGUGUUGUAGAGUAUAGACAUGGGUCUUGACAUCUAGGCAAACCUCCCUACGAUUUCUAAAACAAUAUAAAGCAUUAUGAUGAAUAGGCGUAGAGAACUGAGUGUGAACCAUGACAACAAAAGGCUUAUAGAUAAGACCUCACUACGAGAAGAAAUAAAGUAUAUCCAGGUGUGUCGAGAGAAGUCACUAGCGGAGGGCAAAGGGAGAUGGACCCCUGAGAUCAGAGUAAACAAGGUUGAAAGGACGCUAAGACACUGUCUCGCUAUGACUGGGUAAUUGGACCACGGAUUAGAGACAUCGUUGGUGACGGAUCCAAGAAGACCACGUUCAACUAAGGAUGAGAGAUCACAAGUGACCCAAGGCGAUGAUGCCACUGCGAAAAAUAGCUAGUAAACAAGGCAACAGAGGCAGAGACUGGCGGCUGUGGAGGCAGAGGGACUUGAUCCAGCAUCCCACGUGCAUGUGCACUCUCCAUACCCUGCGAUUCGGCUUGGUGUUCUUCUCCUGCUUGCGGGUUGUGUGCCACGCACUCGAUUAAGCACCCCAGGUUCUCCUACUGUGCGCCCUCAGCCUCGACUUUAGGUAGCGCCUGUCGUUGGCUCGCCCCGUUCAUAAUCCAGGUACGCGUCGACUGUCCGAGCUCCUGCUCACCAUUGGUGGUGCUCGAGCGUGCGGUUAUGGUGUUGCACAACAAGGGAACACGGGAUGUGGGAUUAAGAUAGUGCUCAUAGAAACCCGCAGCAAGGCAAAGGUUUCUUAUGCAGACUCGCAGGGAGCGGAGGUGGUCACAAAUGUGGACGUUGGCUCCACAGGAGUCUCGACAAUGCGCUCAUCAGUAAGAGCAACAUGAACAAGAAGAUCCUGAAUAUACUUCUCCAGGAAAUACGGAACAAUCUCAAGGAAGUAGCGAAGAGGACGAAGAUCAGACAUACAAAAUUCACUAUGACGAGCCUUCACAAAGGUAAUGUACUUAAGAGUCGUCGCCGGUGACGAUCGACAUGUAGAAGAAGUGUUCGGCCACGAGUUGAAUGGUGGACGAAAGUGUUGGAUCAUGAGCACUCGCCAAAAACCAGUCGCAAUCACCACUGAGACAAAGCGCUCAAACCAGGCACGAGGGUUUGCUUAGGGCCAUAUAGACAGCGAGGAAGACGACAAACCAUGCCAUCAGGAAGAGAACCCAGGUGGUGGCUACAUGUUGGCAUUCUUGACAUCAAGCUGAGAGACAGACUAGCGGCGAAUAGAAGCCACAUUGAGAAGUGUGCGAAGAGUGGUCGUGUGGGCCAUAUAUAUAGGAGAAAACAUCUCAUGGUAGUCAUGACCAUGUUCUCACCACUAAAUGAGCUUUGUAAUGCUCGAGAGUAUUAUCAAUCUUAACCUUGUAAACCCACUUACAAGUGCUGAGAUGGGCAUGGGGAAGAAGGGAAAUGAGAUUCCAUGUGUCGAGCGGGCAACAUCAAUCUUCGAUGCCAUCACAUCCAGCCAUUUGGGAUGAACAACCUCACGAUAAGAAGUCGUCUGGGAAGAGCUGCACAGUAACCAUAGCAGUCAAUAGGCACAAGCGGGCGAGCUCGAAAGCCAUAGGUAGGCUAGCUGGGAAUAGAGAUUACGAUGGUGUAAAUUAAGCGACACCUUUCUGUUUAUAAACGUACAGUGUUGUAGAGUAUCAAAGGUGUUGUAGAGUAUAGACAUGGGUCUUGACAUCUAGGCAAACCUCCAUACGAUUUUUAAAACAAUAUAAAGCAUUAUGGUGAAUAAGCAUAGAGAACUGAGUGUGAACCAUGACAGCAAAAAGCUUAUAGAUAAGACCUCACUACGAGAAGAAAUAAAGUAUAUCUAGGUGUGGCGAGAGAAGUCACUAGCGGAGGCAAAGGGAGAUGGACCCCCGAGAUCAGAGUAAACAAGGUUGAAAGGACGCUGAGACACUGUCUCGCUAUGACUAGGUAACUGGACCAUGGAUUAGAGACAUCGUCGGAGAUGGAUCCAAGAAGACCACGUUGAACUAAAGGAUGAGAGAUCACAAGGGUCCCAAGGCGAUGAUGCCACUGCUGAAAAUAGCUGGUAGACAAGGCAACAAUGGCAGAGACCGGUGGCGGCGGCAGAGGGACUUGAUCCAGCAUCCCAUGUGCCUGUGCACUCUCCGCACCCUGCCGAUUCGGCUUGGUGUUCUUCUCCUUCUCGCGAGUUGUGUGCCGCGCACUUGAUUAAGGAUUAACUAGUAGGCUUGGUGCCAUAGCGUGGUCGGGUCAUCAGGGUGAGCAGCGGCGGGCGAAGUUGGGCUUGGCCACGAUGCUGCUGAAGGGAAGGUGGUCCGCCGGGGCUCGUGCCUCCCAACCAAUGCUACCGAUCACUGCUCGUCGGUCGUCGUCCUUCAUUCCCAAUCUAGGCUGCGCAAAGUGAGAAAUAAACAAUUGCUCGGAAAGCUUCGGUUUGAGCGUUGGUUUUGAUGACAGUUCUUCCCCCAGUUUUUGCCUCUUCGUUUCAUUGUUUUCUUGAUUAUCGGAUGACGAUGAAGAGGAAGGAUCUUGAGGAAGAGUUAAGAACAAGGUGAUCUCAUUCUGAUUUUCCUAGGUUAUUUUCCUCUGUUGCUUGCAAAGAUUGAGUUGGCACUCAUAAAAUAUGCCUCGGUGCACCCCCUUCUCGUUGCUUGCAAAGGCAGAUCCCACGACCUCACACGUGCUUUUAGUAAUUUAUAUGCUAUAGAUUUUCUCUUUUGGUUAGAUGCAUGCACACAUACGCUUUUAUGCAGUGCUUCAAGUAAUCUGGACAUUUAGUGGUUUAUGUGUGAAGAUACAAGAAGAUUUAUGAUCUUGUUAAGGAGCAUGUUGAGAGGUCUGAAGGAGGAGGGGCAGGGUUGGAAGCAAUGAAUGUCGAGAUGGGCAGCUGCAAAUUCACUGGUUCACUGACCUAAAUUAUUUCUAUCUUAACUAUUUAUUGGUUUACUGAACUAAAUCUUUCUACUCAGGUUCAUUUGUGUAUCACCUUUGUUUUGAAAAAAAAAUGCAAGCUUUAUCAUGUUUGUCAUUAAUAGAUCAAUGAAGCAACAAAAUAUUGGUUGGACCAAUUCCCGAUAGCCGUCUUCUUUAACCUGCUUCAGAAUCAGAAUCAGGAAAGACUGGGCUGGAGAAUCAGGAAGGUCCAUGAUAUUUAAGUAGGCAAGAAUCCCAUUGUAUUCUUCCCUGGAAAGUCACUAUCCCUGUGACAAAUAGUAUGCCUUGCGGUUUUUUUUUUCUGAACAUCUAUCUCCAGAUAAAGCUUUUUUUCUGAACUGGCUUCGACGAGGUGGAACUCAAGGGCUAUACGGCAGUCAUCCACGUCAGUGUGUACCAGACAAUCGAAGUAUGCCAAUACUGGAACGGGAGAUUGGAGCAAAACUAUCAGAAAUCAGGUUGGAUUACCCACCCCUUAACAAAGAAGUCAUACAGGAUGUAAGAAAUCUAUGGGAGGAUCCAUCCAUCCAGGAAACUUACUUGUGGAAGUGUGCUGCAAGUUCCUGACUGUGCAGAGUACUUCAUGGAGAAUCCGGACCGAUUAGCUGAAGCAGAUUACGUACCAACAAAGGAGCACAUAGGCGAGGGAGGGCAUGGCCGAACUGGAGGUUGUUUCAUGGCGAGGGCAAGCUAGGGCAGAGACAUGCAACGACGAGAGUUGCAACCGUCAGGGGACAUCAUCACCUUAUAAAAUGCCCACUCACAAUGGCUAGAUGCUGCUCUUUUCCUCUCCAUUGUCAUUGACGCAAUUACAGUUGCAGAUUUAAGCCUCUUUGAUCCUCUCCUGUAAUCUGGCAAUGAUAUCAGCACAUAAAUUCAUUCAGUUCUUCCAGCGUGCAUAGCAUUCAACUCUCUGUGCAGGUUGUUCACCAGUGAUCUAGUUUGCUAAAAGGCAUAUUAUUUGUUUCAGACCUGGAAUUGCUUAUGUGCUGGCAAAACAUGAUAAGCAGGAAUUGAACCUCACCCAUUCAUCAACGAAUUUAUUCCAUCUGUCAAAGAGAUGAUGACAUCUAUGCCUAUUGUUUCCUGAUAAAAAAUCUUCGAGGUACGCCUCACAGGGCACUGAUUCAAGGUACACCCAACGUCAUCUAUGAUCAGAGGAAAAAUUUCUGUAUGGACUCCAUGAAACCGAGGAGGUAUGUAACUACUAUAUAUCAUAGGCUUCUAUGUUCGACAAGCUUUGGUAAUGAUAUGAGAUGGUCACUUUCAUUGAGUUUGUUCAGAAGGGGUGUGGAUCUAUUAUGUUUAAUUUUGCCCCAUGACGUAUUCUUGCAAAUCCCAGGAACUGAUCAGAUUAAUAGAGAAGUAUGAUGUCCAGUUGUAUGGAAAUAUUUCAUACAUUCAGGACUACAGUCAUGGGAAGAUUGUUUCUAGAGGAUCAAUGAAGAUUUAAUGAACUUUGCAUAAUUUUUAUUGUCUAGCAUUUGACCUUUGUUAUGUUGCAACCUACAGUAUGGACAGGAUACUGAAAGUAGUUUCUCGGAUAUUUAAACAAAUGACGAUGACAUAAAUUCUUUUGAUGCUUUCUCUAGGAAGGUAGGUAUAUUUGAACAAAUCAUCAGCAAAGCAUCUGCCCUCCCAUCCAGUCCGACUGAAGAGAUGAAACAAAGGGAAAAACUCUUCAGGAGGUGGUAUAUUUCAUCAUUUUAGCAGCAUUAGAGGCAGGACAUGUAUAAAAAGACAUAAGAAGCAGCUAAUUGCAAGCACUUCUAUUCUAUGGGAUUUGUAGAGACACUACACGCAGAAAACUAAAUCGAAUAUGUGGACAACAACUAAGAGUCAAAUACGUCAAUUUAGAACGGAAUACAUGGAUGCAUUUUGUACUAUUUACUUUAUUAUCUUGGUUAUUCACAUCAAUGUAUUCAUUUUCUAAGCUUACUGCAGUAUAUUCAGAACAAGGGAAAGAGCAGAUUACCGCAGUGUAUUCAGGAGAAGGAAAACGGCAGUUGUCCAACUUUUCUCCAGGUUAUCUAUGUUAUGCGCUCAGUUUAAGUUUGAACCCUCUUAUUUUAUAUUUUUUGUAGUUGACAGUUUGCUACCCAUCUCUGUGCACUAAGCCUUGAUGGAUCAUACAUCCACAUGUCCUCCUCUGUUUUAAGUAUCUUGCUUAUAAAUCCAAACAAAUUAAUCAGUGCUGACUGUGUUAUCUUCCCAGCUAUUCUGCAAUUUGCAUAUGCUGAAUUGACUAAAUAUGCCUAUUUGUCCAAGGUCUGAACAAAUUAAUUCGUCAUGUUUGAGAUUUUAAACCACAAAAAUUGCUAUUCUCUAUUUUUCUAUUCGCUUAAUGUAACUUAUAAGGUUUCAUGCAUAGUUUCUUUUUGCUGCAACAAAUUCUGUUUUCAACUCGACAAUUUGGAUCUCAGUGUUUAUGUGUAUAAUUACUCAUGCUCUAUUCAGCCUAAUGCUUUGAGCAAAAGGAAUUGGUACUCACUUUGGCAAACAGAGAGAAAGGAAUAUGUUUUUUUGUUGCUAUUGGAGCUCCAUCACUCACUGUCAAGUAUUGCAAGCAAGCAACUGAAGCAACUACAGUGGCCAAUAAUGCAUAUAUGAAGAUUGAUUUACAACAACAGCUCCAACAUUUGUACAUAAUCUUGCAUAUUGUGUCUCUCUUCGAAUCCCUGUUAGUGUGUUUAUAUACAUUAAUGUCAUAUCAAGAUGUGUCCAUUGCAGUUUUCUCAUCUUAAGUUAAUACAUUAUGCAAAAAGUUAUUCAAUUUAUCUAUCAUCAUCUUCAUA